AAACGCUGAGAGUUCUUUACUCAAAUUAUGCGCGUUUCUUCCUUGCUUAAAACUUCGUCAACACGUGACAUUUCCUUUUAUUUUUUUAAAUUUUAACAAGUGGGGAUGGUGUCAUCAGUUGGUUUGACGAAUAUGAGAGUCAAUCGAAGAGUUACGAUUAUAGAGUGUGCUUUGAAAAAACAAUGUGUGCGUUUGCGAGCGUUUACGUGCUCGUGUUAGAAAAUUUGCAUCGAGACGAGAAUGGUCAGUUUUAAAAGCAACAACGUCACCAGUGGGCAACCAAGAUCGCAUUGUCAGGUGACUGGGACUUCUCCAGAUAAUUUUCGCGAUCAUCGAGGUAGUCAUUUGGGCAGACAUGAAGCGUUGCCGGUCUCGUAUCGUUCUCCAGCAGGGCUACGAUCAUCUUCGGUAUUGGCACCACCAGCAUCACCAGCAUCAUCGCCGUCAUCAUCGUCGAGCGUCGAUCCUACGGUGCAACGCGGUUGCGCCUUGCAUCCGAGGCUCGAACACCCGGUGACCACAUCGACUCCCGGGAUGGACAGCAAAAAGAUUGUCCAAGCUACAACGGCAGUCGUAGCGGUAGGUAGUAGCGGCCAGGUGCGCAACAAAAACAACAACGAUGCUACUACGGGUUUGGCGGCUUCCGUGUCUGGAAUCCGACGACGAAGCGGACCCCAAGGAUUGCGAUCACCCGCUGCGAAAAGACCCCUAUCUGCACCGGUCCACCUACAAGGCUGGCUACACAAACAGGGUUCGGAAGGGCUCAUGCUUUGGAAGAAACGCUGGUUCGUCUUGUCCGAGUAUUGUCUCUUCUACUACAAAGGUCCAGAAGAAGAGAAACUCCUGGGGUCGAUACUCUUGCCUUCGUAUAGGGUUACCGUUUGCAGACCCGAAGACAAGGUCAACAGGAAGUUCGCUUUCAAGGCUGAACACGCAAACAUGAGGACCUACCACUUUGCAGCUGAGAAUCGUGAAAGUAUGAAUCAAUGGGUAAAUGCGCUAACUUUGGCGACCCUUCUGCAGGAUCCCAGUCCCGGCGGAAGAGGCGAGGCUGCAGUGGUCAUCGAAAUAGGAGGACAACCGGAUGGGGAAAGAAGCGCUAGACCAAGUGUCUCUUCGAUUUCAUCCGUAUUGAAUCAAAGUGCCGACGACAGUGAUUCAGGUUUUCACGGAUUUCUCUCGAGAGACGAUCCCAGUCACGCGUCUAACAACAAUUCCAGUCCUAACAGCGUCAACACUGCCUCCUUUCCUAAUCUUAGCGGGAGCAACGGUAACGGAAAUACCGCUUCUAACAACAACAAUUUAAAAGAAGUUCCACAAGUGGCCAAUGGUUGGCUGCAACAAUCACCACAAUAUGGUCAAUCCAGUUCGUCGCAGCAUCAACAUCCGCAAUACUGUUUUACUGAACAUUCGGUUUCUCAGCAACUUCAACAAGGUCAUUCUCAUCAACAUCAAGCGAUGUUGCAUCAAGCGCAUCAAAGUGUUUCUCAGGUUAAUCAACACAAGCAACAACAGCAGCUACAGCAGCAGCAACAGCAACAACAACAGCAACAACAACAACAACAACAACCACAGGUGCAUCCUGGUUUGAUCUACGUGCAAGGGGUUGUUCAAUCAACGCCUAGGAAAUUUGGUCAGCCUAUAUACGCGAAUGCACCGCCUAAACCUAGGAGAUUAACCGAGGGAUCCAACGAAUACUCUACACCCUCGCCCGAGCCAUCUUUUCGAAGAUCUCCAGUCUCACCAGACGUUACUUUAACUAGCAAAAGUCCCAUAUCCGAUUACGAUAGGAACAGCGUUAUUUAUGCUACUGGAAUGAGUCAGCCGUCGCAACAAAGUUUAAGAACUGACAAGUCGGGUUUAAAUUAUGGUUAUUGUCAAGUACAAUCGACCGAAAGACGUACGCCAGACACUUAUGGAAGAAGCGCGAAGCCUUCAAGACCAAACCGAGGAAACGGUGACUACGAAGAAGUCUAUGGUAUACCUCAACUUUAUCAAAGACCAGCUGGGCCAGUCGUUGGAUACACCAAAGCAACUGCACCAGCACCUAUACCUAUUCCCACGUAUGCACAACAUCAACAAAUGCAACAACAGCAACAACUUCAUUCACCAGUCACACCACCCAAUGUUCCCAUAAUAAGACAACCAAUAUCCCAUCAAUUACCACCACCGCGACCCCACAGUGCCGAUUUUCUCGAGUAUGAAGCAACGAGACGACCUCAGCAACAAAACCCCGUGCAAAACGAAGGUUCCUCGAGCCAACAAAAACGCCCCCAAAGGCCCAAGUCCAGUUUGGAUAUAAUGAAUCCAUCGGAUGCGACUAACGACGGCUAUUAUUAUUCGGAAGAAAGAUACGCAGCGCAAAUGCGUCAAUCCGCCGUCUACUUACAUCAAACACCGCAACACCAUCAACAACAAAGAAACCAGUCGUUAUCGCGAGCCACCGUGCCGUCAAAAUUACCAUCGGUUCACGAUAGAAACGGUGGUGAUAUCCGUAUGGCAACUUUACCCGAUUCCUCUUGUUCUACCUUGAGACGUUUGCAACGGGAACAUGCUCAUCAACAUCAACAUAAUAUAUCUACUCAAACGUUACAAAGACAUAACGAAUUGUCCAACAACGAUGCUAAGUUGAGAAGAUCUUUACGGGAAAAAGUUUACGAAUCGUGUGCUCGCAAUUCAAUGACACGCGAAUACGAAUCGUCGACGAAUUGGAACAAAUCUAUUGGUCACCCGAAUUAUGGGCUUACCAUGAUACAAUCGGCGUGUCAAUCAGCACACAGUGGUGGACCCACCAAACGAUGGGCCGAACAGCAACAGCAACAACAACAACAGCAGCAACAACAACAGCAGCAGCAGCAGCAACAGCAAUUUUAUAGAUCAGCAUCGGCACGUUUGCCAAGGUCUCGACACCCUGCUGCUUUGGACGAAGACGAUGACGAUUAUGGUGGACGAUCUUCCGUUGAACAAGAUAAUCGUGACGGGGAACGAAAAAUUCAACAGAGAGAAGAAUCGAUGAAACGUUUGUUGGAAUGGAAACAACGCAUGUUGCAGUCACCGCUAACGCGGAAACCAUCCGGAUCGAUGAACCGUACCAGAGCACAAAACGAAUUAUCGAAUUAUUAUAAACAGCAAGCACUUUUGGAUCUGGCAGCUCACGAAGCUUCGGUAUCGGAAGCUCGUCAUUCACGGAGAAAAGAUGACAACCACAGGUCACAUAUUAGAAGCAAAAGUUCCGAUGGUCGCAGAACUGUUACUACCGUCUCACGAUACAACAGUUAUUCGAGCGACGACGAAGCAUCCGGUUCUGGAUCGGUAAUUGGAAGAGAUCCACUUCCACCUAGAGCUGUUAGUACAUCUCAUUUGGCCGAAAGAACUUUGACUCAACCACCAGCAGUGGAAUCAACCUUAUCAUCUACUUUACCAUUACCACGAAGCACCGCUAAUCAUCGUCAACAACAUGAACAUUUUUCUAUUCGUCAGUCGAGUCCCCAAGAGAAGCAACACCAGCACCAACACCAACAUCAACAAGACCAACAGUUGCAACAACGAUUGCAAACCACCAACGAUUCGUUAAUUUUACGAGCAUCCAGUAACGGAGAUAUCGGAACGAGUAUAGCACAAACAAACAACAAUGAUGCGAAGAAUCUAAAAUUAUUAUCACCAAAUAGUCAUCCAACUCAAAGGUUACAUUCGUCUAGCGGACAUUUGAGAGUAAUUGAUUUGACCGAGCAUCGAAUUUCGAGUCCAAGCGAGAAUGAAAUUCAAAUUCACAGUCCAAUCGAAAGAAAAGGAAUUGGUGGUGCGAUUGGUAUAGACGUGGACCGAGGUGGAGGUGGAAGUGGUAGUAGUGGUAACGAGAUGAACGUCAGAGUAAAUCAACGUGAACUACUUCACAAAAGGAACAAUGCUAGAAGAAUAGUUAGCGGUUCACCUACAACAGCAACAGCAGCAGCAGCAGCAGGUACAAUAGGUACAAUUGGUACUGCAACGUCAACAACAACGUCUACGUCAACGUCAACGUCAACGUCAACACCAACGACUACGCCAACGCCAACCCCAACCCCAACUCCAACGUUGACCCCAACGCUAACACCCACGCAAAUUGGAACAAACGAUCUUGUUCGGGUAUCCGCUGGCGAACUUCUCGGAAGGACACACGAAGAACUGGUUUUAUUGCUUAUUCAGCUGCGUAGACAAAACGCGACUCUUCUCAAGGCCAUGGACAAUUGUUACAUGGAAAUUGAAGCUCAGGCGAGAUUGGCUGAAUUGGACACACCAAGGCGUCUGGAAAAUCUUCAAAAACUCGAAGAGUUAAAGAGACACCUGAUGGAUCUUGAAAAGCAGUACGAGAAAGGAAAACCUUUGGUAAAUCUAGUCGACAACAUGGUGAAGCUUGGAUCUUUGUACAAUCGCAAUACUGCGAACGAAAGUAACAGCGUGACCAAUUCUCAUAACGAUUUAUUCCAAGAAAAUGCGAAAAAUCAUCGGGAUCGUUUGGAAUUUAAUCAGCGAGUACAAGAACAACGUUUGUUGGCUGAAGAACGCAGAGAUUGGAAUAGACUCAGUCCAGAUCAUGGACAAUUACAGGCAAAGGUACAACAGUUAUACAAACUUGAUCGAAUACUUCAGGAAGAAUCAGGUACCCUGCAUAGUCUUCAACAGGACAAGGAAAUUCUAGAAAAAGCUUUGGGAGGUUUGCGACAUAAAUUACAAGGCAGCAGAAGUAACUUGAUUGAAGCGGAACGUUACAGGAAACAACAGCUUUUAUUGGAACGCGAAUUGAGCAGAGUCAGAAUACUAUUGGCGCACAAUUCUAAGGUAAAACCGAUAUUACCAAGUCAGAAAUUGGAAGAAACAGUUGCGGAGAAUGCAAGGUUGGAACAAGAUUUGGUAGUGUUGAGACAAAAAUUGCAAGCUUCUAGAAGAUACGCUGGUAAUAUAACGAGAGACCCAACAAGUACAACGGCUCCUUUAGAAACGGAAUUAAGAAGAGUUCAACAAUUGGUUGGUGAUCUUCAAAGACAAAGGAAGGAAUUAAGCGUUCAAGUUCAACAACUUACUGAAAAGUCUCAUAGUUUGGUACAGCAAAUUCGACCACAGUCAUCUCCAGCUCCGCCGCCAGUUCAUCAUUCAAAGAAACGCACUCAGAACUCUUGGUUGGAAACUGAUUUAGAUUCUGGAAUCACACUUGAUCAUGGUCUUGGUUCACCGGCUAGUCCAUCAUUGUUAUCCUCGACACAUGGAAAACAAAAUCUAGAAAGUCCUUAUCGUCGAUACGCUUCACCAACGCAGCACAAAAAAUUAUCUUCGCCAAAUCGUCAACACGUCGAACAACCAACUGUACAAAAUUCGCAUAAUCAUAUAUCGUCUUUGUCGCCUCAAUUACGUGAACAAAUUCAACAACAUCAAUUGAAGCAACAAUUGCUAAAAGAUCAAAUGCAAGGAAAGGGUAGUUUAAUGCAGAUCAAUGUUUCUCCUUUGUACGUCAACACUGAAUCCAGAAUUCAAGAUACGAACAAAAGCAACGAUAGUAUAACGAGUCAAACAAACGGUGGACCUACCCUACCACCGGAAUACGUUCCACCACCUCCACUUCAUCCUCUUAACGAAGAAACUUCAUUGACGAACGAUAAUUACAGACAAAAUGAAGAUAAUAAAUUUACAGGUUUGUUGCACAAUCGAGAAAAGCAAGAAAUAAAAACUGUCAGGAUCGUUAAACGAGAAUCCGAGAGACGUCAAAGAGAUCGAGGAGAUAGAAAUGGUAAUAUUGGGAUUCCAUUAACGAACGGACUUCAGGCGCCUGGUGGAGCAAAAAGAUUGUCCGACGAUGACAUCGCUGGUUCCCAAAAAUUCGAAAAGGCCCAAUUGGGUAAAGUCGUUGAAGAAGCACCAAUCGUUCAUGCUCAAAGUACCGUACAUUUGACCGAGCUUGACGACAUACAAUUCCAAAGAAGCAUGUCUCUUCCACGAGGAUUUGGUGGUCAACGACAUCAACCGGGUGUUCAUCAUAUUCCCGUUGCUCCACCACCCCGCAGCGAUAGCAUGCACGCUCUUAAAACGAUCAUGAUGCGAAGACAUAAGGUCAAGUUUGAAAAUUACGAUGGAAGCUCCGAUAGCACGUUAUCACCACACGUCGAUAGUCCUACGUCGAGUUCGCAGUUGCCAAUUAUUUUGCCAAACUACUCGAGUUCGCCUUAUAAUAAUUCAACUCAUCAAAAUUAUUAUUCUGGACAAACUACGAGAGGAUUGAAUCAACAACAACAACAACAACAACAACAACAACAGCAACAACAACGAUACUAUUCGCCACAUUUGCAAUACGAAAAUUCAACGUUAUUUGCGAAGAACUCGAUAGCAUUGAGUCCUGAACCAGUAUCACCCAAUAACGUUGGUGGUGAUGUACCUGUAGACAGGUCAACAUUAGGUUCUAUAGUUAAUGCUAACAGCACGCCGGUAUCACCCCAAUUGUCUCCAGUGUUUAAAAGCGAAGCUGCUAAACAAAUUAUCAAAGAGAUGACUGAGAGAAAAGUUGACGGUCCAAGAAGAAGACAAGUUCCUAAAGAAAAGAGAAGACAUUACACCGUUUCUAGUAGCAAACCCAUUCUAGAUCUCGAGGACAACUUCUCCAGGAUGGGUAUGGGUAGAGCAAGAGACGAUUUGGACAUGGAACAAGCUCUUAGACCUAGAAUCAAUGCUCCGGAUGUUGUUAGAUCGACUUUAAGUCAUAAAGAAUUGAAAUAUAACGAAAGUACGAUCGAUCAACUGUUGGGUACACCAAAUAAGAUUGUCAUUCCUGAACGUUAUAUUCCCGAGCAGACGCCAGAAUUAACGGCAGAAGAACAAGAGCAACGUUUGAAAAAAGCCGAAGCAAUUAGAAAGAUGCUUUCUGAGACUACUACUGUAACUGCACCCGAGGGAACUGAUGACAACAUCAAUCACGAUAAAUCGGACAAAUUGAAACGAAAAGUAGUCGAGGAAAAACGACAGAGAGAACAUAUUCUUCAAAUGAAUCAAAUUCUUGCUAAAGAAGUCAUGGAGAAGAGUAAAAUGGUAGCUGGUAACCAGGCGCACUGACAGACAUGCUUUCUCGAUUCUCCCACUUAGGACACACGCACUCCUUCUUCACGUUUAUCGUUUUUCAGCUUGUUAAUCGUCGUCGAUCAUUCGUUGCUUGAAAAAUAAUGAUGAUCGCGUGUUCUCAACGAUGAUACACUGACAGGAUCUUUUUAUCAUCGACAGUCAAAGCAUUGGCUACACUUCCAUUGAAGACUGAAUCGAGUAUGGAUGAAGAAGACCUCUCACCUGUUACACCGUUGCCACUCUAUCAACA
rnacentral:misc_RNA from 1 species